rnacentral:rRNA from 1 species
UAAUACGUAGGGCGCAAGCGUUGUCCGGAAUUAUUGGGCGUAAAGAGCUCGUAGGCGGUUUGCCGCGUCUGCCGUGAAAGCCCGGGGCUCAACCCCGGGUCUGCGGUGGGUACGGGCAGACUGGAGUGCAGUAGGGGAGACCGGAAUUCCUGGUGUAGCGGUGAAAUGCGCAGAUAUCAGGAGGAACACCGAUGGCGUAGGCAGGUCUCUGGGCUGUAACUGACGCUGAGGAGCGAAAGCAUGGGGAGCGAACAG